UCUACAACUUACAUGUCUUGUGAUUCAUAGUUUUAGACAUAUAUAUUUAAGACUAUCUUAAUAAUGGUUUCGGAAACCCAUAUUAUGUCCAAACAUUGAAUCACCAUUUAGUUGUAGCUAGCUAUCUUCGAAUUAAUUGAAACCAAGACUACCUCAAAGAUGGUUUCUUCAAAGUCAACCAUUCUCUUUGAUUGCAGUCACCUUAAGCUACCAAUUAGCUUAUGAAGGUUUCAUUAUUUCGGGUUAAAUGGUACUUUACCAUUUCCUUGAGUAUAUAUCAUAUAUGCACUCAAUGUAGUCAUAAGGAUUUUCAUUCUUAUUUCUUUCGAAUUAAGAGGUGCAACUCUAUGACAUAGUCAUAAAGUUCAAACCAUUCAACUGAGACGGUUUAUAAAUCCUUCUCGACUACUUUGGAGCUUUUGGUAUAGGAACUAGGUUGUUAUAUUUGUUGAUUACUUUCUUGUCUCACAAAGAACCUAUUCUUUUGAGUUCUAUCUUUCAUUCAUUUGCUCUUAGGCAAAUCACAUUGUAGGAUUACAAUGAACUACCCAACAAAACAACAUUUGUUAGUUGGUUUAUAGAAGUGAUAUCCAAAAGUUAAUUUAAGGAUAUCCCACAAGAUUGUUAUCAAACAAAUAUUGCUUUUAGCACACAACCCCAAAUCUUAACAUGCUUAAGAUUUGUCUUUCUUUCCAACUACAUCUUAUGGAGUCAUGAAAAUAUUGGAAGAUCUUCUAAUUUACAAUCAUAUUGUUUUAGAAGUAUAUAUCCUAUAUAUGGGUAAUAGAUAACAUCUAACGAACUAAAUCUUAUUUGAGUUCGUUCUUCUCCUAAAGGAGAAAUUCAUUAUCUUAUGAUGCUAUUUUCCUUGAUAUCUUUCAAGGAAACUCAUCUAAAGUGUUACCUUUCCUUGGAUCAAAUCUAAGGAGGUAAAUACUUUAGAUGUCUUACUCAUCAACUUACAUUUCUUGAAUUCUUUGAAACAUUUUGCAAAGUAUUCGGACUUGUGUUUAUUCAAAAUAAACUAUAGUCCAACCGAGAGUGAUCUUCGGUGAAUGUCAUCCAACAUGAGUAGUAUUAUGUUGUGGACAAGUGCCACUAACAUCAAAGUGAAUUAACCUCAACAACUUUGUGAUUCUUUCUUCUUUCCAAAAGAAUAAAGAUUCGAACAUUUCGCCUCUACAAUUUUAACAAGAAGGUAUUGGAUCCGGAUCUAACGAUCCAAAGCAUCCAUCUUUCACCAACUCAUAACGUAUGUUUUAGAGGUAUCACAACUUUAGUUGGGAUUAGUCACUUCCUUGCAACCUUUUGGGUUUUAAGCAUCAUUAUAUUCUAAACAGUUAACACUACCAUAUCAUCUCUACUAUAGAGACAAUCAAUUAGAUUACCAUAAUCCAAUCAUUGAUUAAUAAAGAACAAUGUUUUGUCAAACAAAACAUUCAUCCAUCUCUACUAUAGUGACGGAAUUAAAUUCCUUAAAAUUGGAAUGUAAAGACAAUCUUUGGUUUUUCCAAUUUCUUUGGUAGUUCAUAUGAGGAAGUAAGUACUAUAUGCUUUUGCAAAGAUCUAUAUUUUAUUCACGUUUCGAAUGUGAAGCACCUUUUCCUUCUCUCAUAUAUCUUCUACUUCUUAUUAGUCACACUUUUACAACGAUUGUAAAACAUAGUUACUAAUACGGAAUCAAGCAUUCAAGUAGAAGAACCAACUGUUUUGAACUAUUCAAGAACAAUUUACAACACCUUUGAAAGGUGUGUUCUUGACACUUACAAGACAUUUCUUGCAAAUACCCUUUCCAAUGUCCAUCCUUUCAUAAAGAAAGUUUGUUCCCUUGGAGUUAAUUUAAUCUUCUUCAUUUGACUUCUCCUUUGACUACAAUAGUCAUGGUCCCUAAACUCCCACUAUCUCUCUUGAAACUUAUUUCAAUUGUGUUAUACACAUCAACAUUUUUGGAGAGCAUGUGGUUAUUGUUCACUACAUAGUUUACAAUAAACUUAGUGAACUAUUAGUAUAGGGACAUAAAGGUGAAGUCCUUGCCUAGUUUCCGUCUCAUUAAGUGGUUUAUCACUUCAACACUCAAUGAUUCAAAAUCAUUAUAAGUCCAUGUUAAUGGACUAUUUUUGUCAACCAACCAUUAUGUUCUAAACAUAAUUACAAACCUUCAAGAGUUGUACAAGGCAACUCUCAUUUCUUCAUACAACAAUUUGUAAGUGAAGAAUCAUGGCACAUAAAGUGUCCAUGCCUUUGUGCUUUCUUCUCAAGUUCUUUGUUCAUUUAACAAAGAAACAAGCACUAGUGUUUGCAUUGACUAAGGGUUGUUCAAAGCAACUAUUAUUUCUUCAUACAACGAUUUGUAAGUGAAGAAUUAAUAACACUAAAAUUGUCCUUGUCAUUAUGCUAAUCUUCGUAAGUUCCUUUGUUCAUUUAACAAAGGAUUAAGCAUUGGUUGUUUGUGUGGUCCUCUUCAUGAUAGACUUAUCUAACAUGUUCUUUCAAUGAUACAUUACCAAUAGAACGAUUUUGAGGAUGAGACUACUUAGGUACAUAUACAAUCCAUUUAAGACAAUCUUUGGGAUUGUGUUACCAAGUCCGGAAACUAAAGCAUUCGGCUUUUCUUUGUCAAGUUUUGGAUAGCGUUUGCAAAUAUAUUGGUAAACAAAUACAUAACGAAUAUAAAUUGAUUGAUUUUAAGCCAUUUGAUUCGGGUCUUUAAAUCAAAUAGCACCACCCACUAUUUUUGGCAAAUUCCAUAUCCCUCAUUGGAAUUCGAGAGUUUUGGAUUAAACUCCUAGUAGGGUAUGGGAGGCUCACUAUUACCAAGCCCACCUCAGAAGAAAAUCAUAUUGGCUAGCGUUAAUAAUAAUGAGAGAGUACGCUUACUCAUUUGCAACAACCUCUUGCAAGUACCCAUCUAGUUUGGCCUCUAGAGAAUGAUGCCUCAGAAGAAUAUCAUAUUGGCACCAUUGCACUUAGAUAAGUCAUUCCCACCAUGCUAGUUCAAGUAGGGGUUCAAGAAUGGCCUCAGAAGAAUAUCAUAUUGACCACACUCGUUGCCUACCUUUCACUUCAUCAUAUGUUUAUAGGCUUCUCCUGAAUGUAAGCACAUACUUUGCAACCCCAGAACUGGACGAAUACGGUGUAUGAGUCACAAACGAUUGAAGCCCACCACGGUGGAAGGCCACGAAAGAGUGUUCAAAGCACUCUCACGCUUAUCAACUUAAUAAGGGUUUGGUUGAGGGUUUUAGGUCUCAUCACAUAUAAACAUACAUUUUAAUCUCUAUUAAAACUAUUUUGGUCCUAUUACAACUAUUGGUCCAUAUGAUUGUUUUUUUUUUUUUUUUAGUUGUAUAUAAUACUCCCACUAUGCUUAUAAAAUGGUUUUUAAAGCAAGAGUAUAUGAUACUACUAACAUAACCUUUGCAUUCAUUUGAUGGACUAUAUAGUUGCCUUAGGGCCUUAGGAUGAUUAUGAACCUUUGUUUAGAUUCAACACGAGCCUUGUGUUGAAUCUCGGUCUCUAGGGAUGGAGAUUGAUUUUAGUUUACGCGUUUAAUCACAUUAAGGCGUGUUGUCUUAGGGGCGUUGGACCCAACUACUUCAUUUUCAUGCAUAUCAUAUAAAGCAAGAAAGAAGUACUUCAAAGUAAAGGUGAGCUUAUGCUCAUUACAACAUUUGCAUAAAACAAAUUACUUUAAAGUAAAGAAGAGCUUAAGCCCUUUUACAACAUUUGAUCAAAUCAAAUUACAACCAAAAUCUAAUCUACACAUUCCCAUGAUUCAAACAAAUUUGAAACGGCCUUUCACAUAGCUCAAUUAUAUUAGGCUUAGGUUCAUAAUCACCCUUUAAUUAAUUAACACUUUAACUAAUUAAAUUGAAUGCAACAUUUUCAUUUGGUUUUUGUAUCCAUAAAAUUGAUUUAAAUGGAGCUAAACAAAAUGAAAAUCCAAUUCUCAUUUAAAGAGACAAAACAAUUUUGUUCUCAACCUAAUUUGGGCCAUAAAGCAAUUAACCUCAACUUUUGGGCUAUAUUGCAAAACUUUUGGGGUCACUUUGUAAAGACACAAAAGUCCACUACUUCAUGUAAUUACAAUAGAACCCAAAAUUUAAUCAAUGUAAAAACUUCAUUAAAGGAGCAAAACAAUUUGUCCUUUAGCGUUUUUGGACCUAAACGUAAAAACGUAAACUUUUGGGCCAAAGUGCAAAUACACAAAAGUAUCAAAACUUUAUGUAAUUGCAUAAAAGGCCCCAAAAGUACCCCCACUAGGGGGUGGCCGGUUUUGGAAGAGGAGAGUGAUGUGUGUGUUGAUUUGUGAGUUUUAGACAUAAAGCAACAAGUGGUGCAAGUGGUGUGUGUGAAAGGAAAUUAAUCCUUACACACCCAUCACCAUUUCCAUCACCACUCAAAUAAAUAUCUAUUGCAAUAAAUAAUUUGAAAAACAUAAAACAAAGACUUUAUGAAAUAAAUCAAAACUUUGAAUCAAAACACAAACUUUUUUGUUCUUGGCAAAAAUGUCAAGAACAAUGAAGAACACUCAUGAAAAAACUCAAAAUUUUCCAUGAACAUUUUUCACCAAAAAACAUUCCAAAACCAUUCGAACUUUAGGGAAAUAACAUCUAACCAAACUAGGGUACAUAGGGGUUCCAAAAGUCACUUGAAAACACUUUUAACAAGUCAAACAAGAACCCAAAAAUCCACCCUUUGGAUUUGGCCGAAAAUCCCCAAAGUCAUGGCACCAAAUUUUAGCUCCAAUAUUCAUGCUCAUAUGAACUACAUCUACAACAUUGAGAUGGCAAAUUUUCAAACAAAAUUUACAUUCAAAGAAGCAAGAAUUUUUAAAUCACAAACUAUGAACUACAAAACACAAAAGGAUUCACCAACUACUAGACCUAGGCUCUGAUACCACUUGAAGGAUUGUUUUGUGAAAACAUGUUCAUUUAAGCAACAUCUAUAAGCAUGCAAUUAACAAUUAAAGGCGGAAUCAUGCUUGCAUGCACUUAAAAACAAAACAUUAACCAAGAAAUUCAAAGCCUAGUAGAUUGGUGAAUCAAGAAUCAACUCAAAACAAAGUGAGUUGAGAUUUAUACCUUUGUAGAUUCCUCUUUGCAUAAGCAAAGGCUAAUCACCCAAAGAGAGGGCCUUCAUUCCUUGCAUCUUAAAUCUAUGGAUUUGGAUGGAAGAAUAGGUUUCUCCAAGUUCCCAAAAUUGAGAACCUCUAAGUCUCUUCACCAAGGAGAGAUUGGAGAAGAAAUGAGUGACCUUGGAGUAGUGGGAUUGGAAGAUGCACCCCCCCAAGGUGGCCGGCCUCUUUAGAGAGAAAGGGAGAGACAUGUUCUCUCCAAUUUUCUCUAAAACAAACCCCUUUUCUUGAAUUUUGGCUAUAAAGUCAUAUUUAUACCUUUAUUCAUUUGAGUGGCAAACUUGUAAAUAAGUCCAAGUUCACUACCCUAACCAAUAUGGCCGGCCAUUAGGAUAUUUUGGACUAAUUGGGCCUUUGUGAAUCAUUAUUCAUUAAGUUGUCAUACAACUUAUGUUAAUGGGCUUGACGUUCGAAGCCCAUUGAGCCUUAAGGUCCAAAACUAUCCCGAGGUCUUUAACGAACUUAUUCGUUUGAUUAAUUAACAUAUUAAUUAAUCAUUGCCAUAAAUAAAUGAUUAAACCAUUUAAUCAUUCUUACUCAUCUCCAUUGUUUCUUCAAUCUCCUCCUUACACGGUGUGCAAUCCAUUAGGUUCCUUUUAGCGAGGCAGUGGGCGAUUAAAACCAUUUUACAUCGACUGUGAAUUGAAACUUACUUUCAAUUCUCUCUUUAGUGAUUACACACGUUUAGGGCUUCCACAAACCAUGAGUGACACCUUGCAGCAUAUCAUGGUUACCCAAGCUAAUCAGAAGAGGUAGAGAAAACCUAUUCAGUUUGGGAUUACAAAUGCAAUACGGUCUUUCUCUAAUCUAAUACUCCUGACCACAUUGUUUGGUUUGAUAGUUUAUUUAUUCAUGUCUACUAUCCAAUGUGAUUCGUGUGCUUAUAUGAUUUCCUUGAAUGUGAUUCAGAACGCAUUCCCAAAUCUCAUUCAUACUCUGGCCAGAGAUUCUAAAUCAUAUCAUAGAGUAUUCUCCCUCAAACAGUUUGAAGGUUAGAGAUCCCUUGUUGCGCAUUCACUUGCCUCCAUGGCUAAGUGGCUUAACCCCAACGAUGCCGUGGACACUCCAAUGGAAUGACGUUUGACAUAAUCAAAGAUCAAGGACUUAACCACAAGACAACUAUGAUGCCUCAGGUCAAAGGACUACUUUGCAUUAUCCCAACCAUGAGUUCUCAUGUGACAUGAAUAUGAGAACUCUUCGUUGAUCGCGUUCAGUGAACUCAUUCUCUAUUGAGCACCUAUGUACUUGUCUUGAUGUCACACACACCAAUGACUCGAGACUAGUCACUCUCCCUGAGAGAAGACACAGUACGUACCGAUCUUAACGGACUGUCAAUGCCCAAUUGACAAUCCUAUGAUCAGGAACAUUUAGGAUGUGUCUACGAAAGAAUGGUCUCAUGAAUCUAACUUCAUUAGAUUGCAUUCUCCCAAUCACAUAUUCCUUGGACUUUAUCGUUUAAGCAUAUAACAUUUAUAUGAGACGGCUCAAACAAUAAUCUUUGCCCUUUAUAUUAAACUAGAUUAGUUUAACAUGUGAAAUGUCCGUAAAGUAUCAUCACAUGAUUGGUUUUAGGGCACAUUUCCAACAAAGUAAGUUUCAAUUCACAAUCGAUUUGAAGAGUUCUAAUCGUCCACUACCUCGCUAAAAGGAACCUAAUAGAUCGUAUACCGUGUAAGGUAGAGAUUGAAGAAACAAUGGAGAUGAGUAAGGAUAGUUAAAUGGUUUAAUUAUUUAUGGCUAGGAUUAAUUAAUAUGUUAAUUAAUCAAAUGAAUAAGUUUGUUUUAGCUUUUGAGUAAUUAGUGGACCUUAAAGCCCAUUAGUUUCAAAACCAUUAAGCCCAUUAACUUAAGUUGUAUGACAACUUAAUGACUAAAUUCUCAAAAGGGCCCAAAUAGCCCAAAGCCUUUAGAAGGCCAGCCAUAUCAUGAUGAAAGUUUUUGGUUUUUUUUGUCACUUUAAUGAAGUGACUAUAUAAAGGACUUUAUAGCCAAAAUUCAUUAGGGUUCUCUCUUGAGGAAAUUGGAGAGAACAAAAGCUCUUUUUUUCUCUCUAGGAGGCCGGCGCCCUUGGAGGGGAUUUACUAGUAUCAAUCCUCCUCCAAGGUCACUCAUCUCUUCUUCAAGUCUCUCCUUUGUGUGGAUACUUAGAGGUUUCCUUUCGUGGAAACUUAGAGGUUCCCUUUCUUGGGAACUUAGAGAAUCCAUUCAACCAUCAUCCUCCAAGAAAUCCAUGGAGCUAAGAAGUAAGGAAUGAAGGUCCUCUCUCUUGGGUGAUUAGCCUUUGCUUAUGCAAAGAGGUGCUUCAAAGGUAUAAAAGUUUCUCAACUCUUUUCUUUAAGAUUUGAGUCGAGUCCUGGUUCACCACAACUAUUAGGCCUUGAAUUUCAUGGGUAAAGUUUUGUUUUUGAGUGCAUACAAGCAUAAUUCCGCCUUUAAUUGUUAAUUGCAUGCAUAGAUGUUGCUCAAAUGAACUUGUUUUCACAAAUUUUUCCUUCACACUAGAAUUAGUCUCUAGUAGUACUAAUUUUAGUAUUUAGGAACGAUUCAAAACAUGUUGACCCAAAAGUCAACUCUCAGUCAAUGGUGGGGUCCACAACCCUAUGCAAAUCGAUCGAGAACAUCCUCCCAUGGAUUUCAAAUCCGUAACUUCCCAAGAGUGUCAAUAUCCUAAAAUUUCAGAAUAAUCCAACGGUCGGAUCUCCACCAAUUGCUAAAAUUAAGUGGCCAUCAACAUUUAGUUUUACAAACUUAGAAGUUCACUUCGGGAAGAUCCAUAUGUCGGAUUCCCAAUUUGUAAGUUCCUAAAGUCCUCAAAUAUUAUGUAUAAUAACAUAAUAAAGUUUGGUGAUAAUUUAACGGCCAGAUCGUGGAUUCAUAUAAUGAUCAAGUGGCGUACCAUAAUCAAAAUAGGUUCAGACAAUCAAAUUACAUCAAGCAGAUAUCGAAUCUGAAAUCAAGAAAUGUAAUUUAGCUUAAAAAGCAUUGCCGGCCCACUAGCCAUGCGCUGCCACAGGUGGCGGUUUCCGGCGAACGAAAACUCAAUUUUUCGACUACCUCUAAAAAUUUCCAAAUUUUACAAACAUAUAUAUCUAAAUGAGAGGAACAACUUUCAUACUUGAGCCAAAGUCCAAUUCUACCCGGAAUCACCUCAAAUAACCCUUGAUCUGCUGAAAACCUAAAAAUAGGUGUUCUCUAUUCAACCUCAAAAUGAGCUCCAACACCUUCACCACUGCUUGGGCUUUGUUCCUGAGGUUGAGGGAAGUCUAUUGGUGUUGGUGGUUGGCGGAGUUAGCUUUAGGUUUGGUGAAUCAUUGCCAAGAACCCGUCACACCCACCGUGCGGGUUUCACAAAAUCAAGGCCAAAUUUUAUCAAUUUUCGGGUGGAAUUGGUAGAGGGAAUGUCGUGGAGUGUUUCCCAGGUAGUUGUUUGACGUGGUCCGUUGGAGUUGUCUUGCGGUAACCGAGUCCGGUCAAGGGUCGAAGGGAGGGAACUGGGUUGGGUGGUUCUUCCUUCCCUCCUUUCCUUUCUUUCCUCUCUUCCCAUUGGCUCACUCUUUUCCCCCUCUUUCUGAUUCGUUAGCCCAAUCCCUCAUUUCCCUCAUUUUCUUCCCAUCACAGCCACACAUGUGGCACAUUAGAUUAAUGCUCCAGCAAAUCUGGAGCCUUCCAGAUAAUAGUCAAAUGAUCAUUUCGCCCUUGUCUUUGAUCGUCUAUAACUUCCUCGUUAUAACUCCAAAUUACAUUCCAUUUACGCUCACGCGUUCGUAUUGACGAGUACUAUAAAAAUAUGUAAAAAAAAUUGGGAAAAUCAUAAAAGGAUUAAAUACUUCCCGAAUAAUCCCGUUUAAUACAAUAGGGGCAAUUUUGUCCUUUUACUUAUAAAAAAAACCUAUACGCCGUAAAUAUAAAAGUAUCCGAACUAAGAAUAUGAAUAUGAAAUACGCAAUUUUAAACAAUGAAAUCCGGGAACGGGAUUUCACAUUAUGUUGGAUACAAUGAUUUGGUGUUGUUAUCUUAGACAGUGGGCUUGUAGGUAAAAUGUUAAGGUUUAUGUCUUAAGAGCUCUCUCUCUCUCUCUCUCUCUCUCUCUCUCUGUGCGGGCUGUGUGUUGGUUUGAAAGCUGUUCUUACAUUUUGUUUCCCUCCCCCCUUUCUUUUCUAUCUAUUUUUGUAGCUGAUCUUUUCCCUCUCUCAGGUCAAUGUGGUAUACUUUUUUUUAUUUAACUAUGUUGCGUUGGGUGGUGCCUUCUUCUUGCUACUGUGUAAGUGAAGGAAAAUGUUUUGCAGAUGUGCAAUGAGUCGCAAACUUUUUAGGCUGUUUGGUUGGUAAAGAUAGCAUAGUAUGCGAGAAAAAAAAUUGGGAAAAUAGUUGUAAGUGGACAUAAAAAAGACCAUGAUUAAUGAGACUAAACCUUUAAAAUAGACCAUGAUUUGUUAAUGGAACCAUGACGUUACAAUUUAACUUUAUGUUUUUGUAUGUACAUCCAGAAUUUGGUCAUGACAUCUACAUCGUACGAUUAAACAAUAGUAUUAUGUCGUUUACACAUUUAUCAAACAUAUUUGUAGUAGAUUGUGUAGAUCAUUUUGUUUUGUUUUUCUAUUUUCACUUAUUAUUGUCCGUCGAUACCCCAUCCUACCUGUAUUACACUAGGGUUUAGACUCGAUUGCACAAUGGCAGGAGAGGAGGAAAGGCCAUGGGCCCUGUCCAAACUCACAAACCAGUGUAAGCUAAAUGAAAGAUGUGAUCAUAGGGUUUGGCAGCAGUCGGGCCGCUUCAUCCACUCUGUUUUAUAAUUUGAACUGGUCAUAUUAUAAAGUACUAACCUUCAUGCACGCACUCACGCGCGUGCGAAAUGUCUUUCUUUAAUCACAACACACUACGUGAUAUUAAUAUUUCUUCCUCCUAAAAUAGAGGAGGCACGUGACAUCUUGAAGAAACGUGACCUACUUCGUACUAUUAGACAUUAACGUUAUGUUGUUUACACAUUUAUCAAACAUAUUAUAAAAAUUUAAGGGCAUCCAGCACCCGUGAUAAAUAGAAGGCCUUUUGCACGUGCGUAUGCACGUAUAGAAAGGCUAGUUUAGUAAUUACAUGAACAUACAUUUUCCUUUCUUAACACCAACCUCACAGCCAUAUCGGUAUAGCAUUCCCUAUUUAGAAAUAAAAUAAAAUGAAAAAUAAAAAACAUGCCCACUUUAGAAGAAACUACUCAUCACUGUCUCAAUUUUCAUAAUUGAUUUUUUUUUUCACUAGGUGUGUGUGGGCAUAUAAAAAAAAAAUUGAAAUGACAUUUUUCACACUACAUGAGUGGACAUCUACUAGUAUCUAAACUACCUAUUAAUAGAAUCCUGGUUGUCAAUCAAAACUCCAUAAAAUUAUUAUUUUAACCCCUUCACCAAAACUUAACAAAAAUAAAAAAUAUGGGCAAGUUAGUAAUUACAUGAACAUAAAUUUUGUUUUUUUUACACCUACCUCACAGGCAAGUCAAUAUAGCAUGCUCUAUUUAAAAAUUAAUAAUAAAUUAAAUUGAAAAAUAAAAAACAUGCCCAUGUUAGAAGAAACAGCUCAUCAUUGUCCCAAUUUUCACAACUUUUUUUCCCACUAGGUGUGUGUGGGCAUAAAAAAAACAUAAUGAAAUGAAAUUGUUCAAACUGGGUUUGUGGACAUUUACUAGUAUUUUUUAUAAAUUGAACAGUGUUUAAUUGUUCAAACUGGGUUUGUGGACACGAAUCAGACGAUCUUGAUUUGCUGAGCUCACGGUAGAAUUGGGUUGGUGUGACCUGGAAAAAAAAAAGAGGGGGGGGGCUGAGAGUUCGCAUGUUCAAGAGGGCCAAAAGAAACACAAAGAGAGUGAGCUAGGGUGGUGAUUGGAUUUGAGGUGUAUUGAAAUUGCGUUGUGACAGUGACCUGAUCAUCUUAUACCUUUAAAUUUUUUAUUGAUCAUCUUAUACCAUUAAAUUUUUUUUUCACUGGGUAUCUCUUUCUUAGAAAGAAUUAGGGAGGUGGGUAGCUGAGGUAAUAUUGGCGUGCUGAAGAGGGAAAGAGAGGCUGAGAGAAAGAGUUGGGUUGAGGAACCGAUUUCAUCUAGAUUGAAGUUGCAUUGCAACUGUGACCCAGUAAUCUUAUACCUUUAAUUUUUUUGGUUCACUGGGUGUGUUUUUGUCACCUAGAGAAGGAGAGAUUAAGGUUGUCUUCGCCAAGAAAGAGAGGCAGAUAAGGAGGUGGUGAAGGAUGUCAGGCUCGAUUUCAUGUAGGUUGAUGUUGUACUCGUGUUGGAGUUGACAAUGUGGUUCAUCUAGAAGCUGUGAAGAAACCAAGAUUGUGAAGGUGAGUCUCUGAAGAAAUCCAGAACCUCUGUUGUAAUCCAUUUCCAUUCAACUUCAAUUUAUAAAAUUAUGGGAUUUUACUUGGUUGAAAUUGUGAAAUUGGAUUUUAGAUAUAUAGGUGCAAAAAUUUUGCUGGGUUAUGAUAAGUUGUGUUGUAUUUAUGUAGAUUUGUAGCAGGUAGACAUAGAAGUGUAAAUCGAUGGGGAAUAAGUUAGAAAUAGAGCUACUAUGGGGAAAGAGUGCAGAGGAUCAAUCUGGUGCAGGGAGUGUUGAAUUAGUUUUUUCAACGGUAAACGAUGAGUUGAAACCAAAAUUUAAAAUAGAGUUUGAGUCAUUGGAUGAAGGAUAUACUUUUUACAACAAUUAUGCACUUGUAGUGGGGUUUGGGAUUCGGGAGAAUAGUAAUAAAAAGUCCAGUAAUGGUGAAUGUUGGUUACGGAAAGAAUUUGUUUGUUGCAAAGAAUGCAAGAAGAUGGUGGAUACUAAUCCCAAACCUAAUAAGAAAGGUAGGAGGGGAGAUGCUAGAAUUGAGUGCAAGGCAAAAAUUACGCUGAAUAAGGGAAUUGGUAGUGAAACAUUUACUGCAACAGUUUUCAAUGAAUCACACAACCACCCUAUGUCAAGUGUGUCACACUUAUUUAGAUCAAUUGCCAAGUUUCAAAGGCAAAGACGGCGAUGAUUGAACAAUGUGUGUAGGCCAAAUAUUUCCAUAAGUAAACAAGUGGGUUUAUUGGAGGUGUAAAGUGGACGAACUGGAAACAUUGGUUGCACUCCCAAGAAUAUGUAUAACGUCGAACAUCAGUAGUGAGCUCAUCUAAUUGGGCAUGAUGCAGAAAUGUUGAAAGAGCAUUUUGAGGAUGAGAAAGAGAAAAACGAUUCAUUUUAUUUGAAGAUGGAGAUUAACGAAGGCAGAACACUUGGGAAUUUCUUUUGGGCGGAUGCUAAGUCACGACGUGCUUACGACCAUUUUGGUGAUGUGAUUAUGUUUGACACCACUUUCAACACCAAUGUGUAUGGGAUGAUGUUUGCUCCUUUGUUAGGAGUUAACAACCAUGGUCAAACCGCCAAGCCAUUUAAAUAGGUUUAUUAAUUGAAAUGCCCCCAUAAGCUACCAUUUACUCUCAAUUUACCCUCUAAAACUGGUUUUGUCUCACUUUACCCCCAUAAACUGACAUUUUCAACUCUUUUGGUCUCACCUCACCCUAUUCCGUUAAAGAAUUGUUAAAUUCAAGGGCAUUUUAGAUUUUGUACACAUCUAUUUACCUCUAGCAUACACACUAAACCAACCUUAACGUCAUUUUUGACAACUUUAAUUCAAACCACAUGAGUUAGAGAUUUUUUUUUUCAAAAAAAUAAAUUAUUCAAUCAAUAGCAAAAUUCUGAGCAACAAUGUGAAACUUUUGGUUGUAAAUUGUGCACAUUUGCUUUAGAUGUUUUUUUGGUUUGGGAAGUAUUUUGGAUAUGGUAGUUUAAUAGCUUUUUUUUUAAUUAUAUUUUGUGCAACUGUUCUGAGAUCAAAUUUGUAUGGUGGUUAGACCAAUUUCAACUAGAAAGAUAUCUUGAAAUAGGCUAAUCAUGUUUCCUUUAUGUUGUAAUGAGUAUUUUCAAGUGCAAAGUUUUGAGCCAAUAUAUGAUUUUCGUUCAAUUUUCGUUCAAUAUCUCGUAUUUACAUGAAUUCAUAUGAUUUUCGUUCAAUUUUGAUUUUUUUAAUUGACUAGUUACUAAGUUUUGAUUUCCAUAGUUAGUCAUUAAGUUUUGAUUUCCAUAGUUAGUCAUUAAAAAACCGUAGACCUUUCAGGAUCACACUAAGUAUUUUUGGAUAGAGCUCAAUCUCGCAAACACUUAGACAAAAAAUGUUCGUGAAACAAAGGAGAAAUAAGCGAGUAAAGCCAUGGGUAAAAUGGUCAUUUUGACUGUAUAAUUCUGGAAGGUUCCAAAUUUGUGGGAGGGGUCCCGUUUGUGAUAGCCAUGUGGGUGGCCUUGAUUGGACACCCCCUUCCCCUUGACCCGCAUGUACAACUCAAUGUGUUUCUAAGCGAGUUUCUCUGGCUUUUUACAGCGAGCUCUGCCGAUAAGGCUUGCAGCCACCAUCACCGUUAGACUCACCUCCUCAUCCCAAUCAUAACCCACCUAUCCUUGUCACCAUUUGGCCUCUGUUCAUGAUGGUUCAAAGUCGCAUUUUUUCUGAAACUUCAUGGGAGGCAAUUGCCCACCUCUGGCCACCUCGAUAUAUCCCACCACCACCAUAAGACUCACCAAGGGUUGGGCUACAAAAUCCAUAGCUCUCACUAGUGACCCGACCAUGUCUAUCUUUGUUGCUCUGGUUCCAUUUCCAUAAUCCGAAUGAUGUGAUGCGAUUGUUUAAGCCUAGUUAUGUAAAUGGGCGCCAUAUGGCCUUUUGUAAUAAAUGAAAAUCUGACCGUUGGUUUGUCACGAAUUUAUAGCAUGUGGUUAUACAUAAUAUUUAAGGACGUUAGGAAUUUACAGAUCAAUAAUCUAACGUACGAGUCUUCCGGAUUGGAUUACUAAGGUUGUUGAUCAUAUUGUUGACCACGUUCACCUAAGGUUGACUUUUAAUCAAAAGUCUCAAAUCGAUCUUGAAUGCUGAAAUUACCAUUAGUAGAGACCCAAUAGAGACUAGUGGGUCUAUCUUGGUUAGUGAGCGUCCUAAAGGAUAUGUAUCUCAAUAUGCGUGCAAGUGGCACUUUACCGGGAUUUACGUGCGUAUCAAGCUUCACGAUGACAAUAAUAAUAAUGUGCAACUACUAGUAUGAAGUGAUAAGCUAAGGACCAUAUUAGAAUUAUUCCUUAGAGCUUGUACGUCUAUGUGAUUACAUAUUUGUUGGUCAUAUGGAAUUGAUUGUGUGUGUGUUUACAAUUGUAAUUCUUAUUGAAUUAAUGUAUAAGCUAUGAUGUGUGAUGUUGUGAGUGCACCAUGUAGCAGUUGGUACAUAGAGGGUCUUACCUUGUUAAUCCGCAUUGGGGGACCACACACAUUUUAGGGGUGACUCCGCCUAGUUAAUCUGCAUUAGGAGGGGUCACUGUUUACCUUGCUAUAUCAUUUCCAUAUAUUGUUCUGCAUAGUUAAUCUACAUUGGGGGACCAUACGUGCUUUAGAGGUGACUCUGCCUGGUUAAUCCACAUUUGAGAGUCACUACCUACUUGGUUACAUUACUUCCAUAGGUGGUCCAGCCUAGUUAAACUGCACUAGGGACCACACUAUAUGAUGCUUGCCUAUGGUCCUGCAUGGUUAUUCCGUAUUAGAGGAUAGUAAACAUUUUAGGGGUGACUCAGCCUGGUUAAUUCGCAUUAGAGGGUCAUUACCUACUUAGUCACGUUAUAUCCAUAUGUGGUCUUAUCUGGUUAAUCUGCAUUAGGGGAUAACGUUAUCAGAUGGAUGCCUAUGGUCCUACUUGGUUAAUCCACAUUGGAAGACCAUACGCAUUCUUGAGAUGGGUGUCGUUGAGUGGUCUGAAACUGUAUAUUUGUUGGAUUCUAUUGAAUGGCCUCGAAUCCUUUUCCUGAUUCGGCUCCGUUAAGUGGUCCUGAACCCUAUCUUUGUUGGAUUUUGUUGAGUGGUCCGAAGUCCAUUUCCCUAUUCAGUUCUAUUGAGUGUGUUGGAACUAGAUCCCUAGAAAUAUUUAUGGUUCCUUUUAGCUGGUCUAGAAUGUGGAAACAUAAGAGCUGUAAUUUUCAGUCAAACUGUGUGGCUCUAGCCCUAUUGUUGAACAUGUUUAUGAACGAAAGAUUUGAUAAUUUUUGUGAUCCGAUUUAGAAAGAACGAUUGAUGUCUGUGUGAUUCCUUCAAGAUUUCCACCUAGUUUAUUUAUAAUCUUAUAAAGUAUGAUUUUAUAAUUGAUUUUGACUUGAUUAGUUGAUCAAUGUGGUUGAAGAUUAUUAUUGUGUAUCGUUGGUUCAUUGAAAUGUUAUUGUUGUUGAUUGUGGUUUUGUAGAUGGAAACAUUAUGAUGUAUAUGAAUGAUGAAAUGACAUAUUGGUGCAUUAUGAAUGUCGAGAGUUGUCUAGAACUCUAUGUUUAUGGCCAGUGGAUGUAUGAGAAAUUUCGAAACUUAAUGGAUGGGUGAACUACGAAUGGCUUGAUCCCUUUUUAGGGUAUGUAGGCAAUAUUACACAAAGGUUAGAUGCAACCACAAAAUAAAAAGGAAAAGUUCUUACGCUAUUGGACCAUUAAUUUGUGUUUUGUUUAUGUCUCGGAAUCGAGGCAUGACGGUUAGAUUGAUAAAUUCUGACGUCAAUCCUAGAGGUAUCUUGGAAUCGGAACGUGAUAACAUGGAUGCCUUGCAAGUGAAAUGACUGUAAGAAAAAAAAAUGUAACCCUUAUUUUGGGUAAUAUAAUGAUUUUGUUGCUCGGAAUUUUUUUAUUGAUAGAAUAUUUAUUUAAAAAAAUGCCCAAAACUCAUGGGUUUGAAUUAGAGUUGUUAAAAAUGGAAUGGAGGUUUAUUUAGUGUGUAGGUUAGAUUUAAAUAAAUGUGUAUAAAAUAAAAUGUCUACAAUACCCUUGAGUUUAACAAUUUGUUAAUAGAAUGGAGUGAAGUGAGACCAAAAGAGUUGAAAAUAUUAGUUUUAGGGGGCAAAAUGAGACAAAACCAGUUUUAUGGGGUAAAUUAAGACUAAAUUGUAAUUUCAGAGGACAUUUCAAUUAAUAAGCCUUCUAAACGUGAAACAUGUUCAUUAGUUUGUCACAUAUAUCAUUGUAUCGAAGUGCAAAAUGGAUGAAAUAAUGCUAUAUACAAGCCCUUUAUCUAAAGGGAUCUCCAUUUUUGGUAAAAAAAAAUAGAGACUCGCUGUGGGGCUUACUCCACAUCGAACUUCAAUGAUCCAAACUGUCUAUUUUUCAAGUUGCAUAUUAUAGAACAUCUUUGCAAAAUAUUAGUCAAAUCAGAAAUGUUUGAAGAAUCUAAUUGAGUUCAAAGAAAUCGAAGAGCACUAUGUUGUAACAAAUAGUGAAAUUUCUUCAAACAAUCAAAUGAUUAAAUGGUUUUGGGAUUAAAUUGAUUUAUUGCAAGGAUAAUCUAUGAAUGAAGGCUUAAAAAAUAGAGUUCGGAUCCCUGAAGUUCGAUGUGCAAUGGAUCCCACAACUAAAAAAAAAUUAAAAAAAAUAGAGAUCCCUUUGGAUCAAAGCCUUUAUCCAAAAGAAUCCUUAGGCAGGUCUAGGAGGGCACAUAGGCAGGUCUAAGCGCUCUUCCUUAUUUUUUGAAUGCCUACGAAUUAAAACGUAGCGGUGGCCAGCCGCCUAGUGCUGAUGUGGACUUUAAAAACACUUUUUAAGAGGGUCAUAAGUUACAUAUAACUACACACCAUAAGUUAAAUAGAAAUAUAAAGGAUGGUUGUGCAUUAAAACAUGUUCCAAUUUUUAGUUGUCAUUCUUUGCUCCAGAUUCAGUAUUUUAUUAUUUUAAAAUAGUUAAAUUGCGGUUUGAUCUCUUGAACUAUCAUCCUAGUUGAAAUUGAUCGCCUAAACUUUUUUUUUUGGUAAAUUAACCCCGUGAACUAUUUAAAAUCAGUUAAUUAACCCCUUGCUGUUAGAUUGCAUAAUCAAUUCCGUCAAAUUCAAGGGCAAAUUAUUUAUUUAAUCAUUAAUUGUUACUUGUCAGCUAUAACCACCAAUAAAAUGUUCACACAUGGACACAAAAUAAUUCAAAAAUAUAUAGCAUACUGAGAAAACAUAAAAAAAUUAAACGUUUCCAUAGUGGACCAUCUCACAUUGUCAUUGCACAUUAUUUUGUUUUCACAUGUCAUAAUUUGACACACCCUGACCCGGUAUGUCCACUACGACUCCGAAUCGAGCUGUGUUGGCCGACAUCUGAGAGGUGAAGAAGUCAUAAGGUGUAGUGAUGUGGAAAAUGUGAAUAUAUUUAAACCUAAAAGUGCCUAAAUACAAGAGUGCGCUGUGAGCAAGAAUGAACCCAUUUCACACGUGAUGUCAGAGCAUAAGUAAAGUACAAUAAGAUAGAAUAAGGAUUAUACCCUCAAAGGUAGUCAUCUAGGCUGAUAUUUGCCAAGAAUCCUCGUCGAUAAAAUAGUUAAGCUGCUAAAACCUAUAGGGGUAAAAAACAAGGGUGAAUGGGCUCAAAAAUAAAGUUUUAAUAAAAACCUAUUGAAAACAUUAUAACCCCUCGCCGUAAAACAUGUAUAGUUUUCAGAAAAUCAUACUACGUAUAAGUAUGAAAUUAAAUGCAAAUUAAUAGUCAAUCUAGAAGCAUGCCACAUCACAAUAUUGCAAACGUAAUAUGAGUGAAUUCAGGUGCUCAACAACCUAUGCGAGCACACCAGUCGGAGUCACUUAAUAUAACAUGUACGACUAGACCUAUUGUUCAUCAAUCUAUGCUAGCCCAUGAGUCGGAGUCACCUAAUGUGACCUAUACGACAAGACUAGGUGUAAUAAUAUACGCUCUAAUGCUACAAUCACGUGAAGACUAGUGCAAUUCACCGUCACAUACGAGUCGAAAUUGCCUAUUGCAAUCUGUACAACAGGACUAGCACCUACUUGGAUCCAAGGCGAGCAUGCAGUACUGAUGUGAACAACACGUGAAACACUAGCUUGGCCUUGGGCUAAGCACUAACAAGUGGGUGUAGCAAUGAUGAGCAGACUAUAUGAAUAUAAGCACGCCAUAAUGAUGCAAUAAUUCGAAACAACAUUAUAAACUUACAUGAACUUACAUGCGCAUCCCGUAGGAUUAUUGAGCAUUUCACCAUAGUACAACAUUUCUAAUAACGAUAUUUAAUCAUGGCAUGAUAUGCAUCAAUCAAUUCAAAAGCUUUUGUGGAAACUAUCAAUCAUAUAUAUAUACUAUAAAAAGGAAAAGACCCACUCACCUGAGAUCCGCGCUACAACUCCCUAGCAUGAAUAUCGAGGCGUGACGAACGAUCGACGCCUAGAAUAAUUAUCAAAUCAUGUAUCAAAAUUCUUAUCGAUAAAACACAUAACUUACAUAAAAACACAUCUCCAAUGAUGUUCUAGAAUGAUUUGAAACCCAUAGACCAAAAGUUAACUGUCGAUCAAAGGUCGACGGUAAGUUCACAACACUACGUAACUCGAUCUGGAAGAUUCACAUAUCGGAUUUCCGAUCCAUAUCUUUCCAAGAGUUUCAAUAAGCUUCUAGAAUGACAUCCUAAAGGUUCGGAACAAUUCAACGGUCGGAUCUCCGCAAAUUGCUAAAAUUAAGUGGUGGCCAACAUUUUAUUUUACGAGCUUACAAAUCUAAUCCGGGAAGAUCCAUAAGUCGGAUUCUUGAUCUAUAAGUUUCUAAUAUCCUCAAAUAUUACGUACUAAAAUGUAUUAAAGUUUCGUGACGAUCCAACGGUUGGAUCGUCAAUUCAAAUAAAUAUCAAGUAGCGGUUUCAAUCAAAACUAUGUUCAAACGAUGAGAUUUCAUCAAUCGGACUUCACUUAUGGAAUUGACGUGUCAAACUUAGCUUAGGAAGGUCAGGGGGUGCCACGGCCCGCGCGUUGCCACACACAACGAUCGACUACCCCGACUUGCUGGAAAAAUCAACUAUUUCUAAAAUUUUCCAAAUUUCACAUCAAUGAAGAUCUCAAUAAUUAGAGCAAGUUUUAUACCUAUGGCCAAGUCCAAAUUGGCUGAAAAUGCCUCAAAUUUCCACGAACUCGUCGGGAACCCAAGAAUGGGUGUUCGACGAUUCGACUUCUCCGGUGUUCCAACUGUUGGAAAUGUGCCCUAAAGCCAAUCAUAUGAUGAUACUCUACGGACAUUUCACAUGUUAAACUAAUCUAGUUUAAUAUAAAGGGUAAAGAUUAUUGUUUAAAGCUGUCUCAUAUAAAUGUUAUAUGCUUAAACGAUAAGUCCAAGGAAUAUGUAAUUGGGAAAAUGUGAUCUAAAGAAGUUAGAUUCAUGAGACCAUUCUCUUUCGUAUACAUAUCCCAAACGUUCCUGAUCAUAGGAUUUCCAAUUGGGCAUUGACAGUUCGUUAAGAUCAGUACGUGCUAUGUCUUCUCUUAGGAAGAGUAACUAGUCUCGAGUCAUUGGUGUGACUGACACCAAGACAAGCAAGUAGGUGCUUAAUAGAGAAUGAGUCCACUGAACGCAAUCAACAAGGAGUUCUCAUACUCAUGUCACAUGAGAACUCAUAAUGCAAAGUAGUCAUUUGACCUGAGGCAUCAUAGUUGUCUUGUGGUUUGGUCCUUGAUCUUUGACUAUGUCAAAGUCACUCCGUCAAAGGGUAUCCAUGACAUAGUUGGGGUUAAGCCACUUAGCCAUGGAGGCAAGUGAAUUCACAACAAGGGAUCUCUAACCAUCAAAUCGUUAGAGGGAGAAUACUCUAUGAUAUGAUUAAGAAUCUCUGGCCAGAGUAUGAAUGAGAUUUAGGAAGUCGUUCCAAAUCACAUUCAAGGUAAUUAUAUAAGUAAAAGAAUCACAUUGGAUAAUAGACAUGAAUAAAUUGUCAAACCAAACAAUGUAGUCAAGAGUAUUGUAUUAGAGAAAUACCGUAUUGCAUUGUAAUCCUAAACUAAAUAGGUUCUCCACCUCUUCUGAUUAGCUUGGGUAGCCAUGAUAUACUACUAGGUGUCACUCAUGGUUUGUGGAAGCCCUAAAGGUGUAUAAUCAUUAAAGGGAGAAUUGAAAGUAUGUUUCAAUUCACAAUCGAUUUGAAGAGUUCUAAUCGCCCACUGCCUCGCUAAAAGGAACCUAAUGGAUCGUACACCAUGUAAGGUAGAGAUUGAAGAAACAACAAAGAUGAGUAAGGAUAAUUAAAUGGUUUAAUUAUUAAUGGCUAGGAUUAAUUAAGAUGUUAAUUAAUCAAACAAAUAAGUUCAUUUUAGCUUUUGAGUAAUUAUUCGACCUCAAGGCCCAUUGGGCUUAGAACCGUCAAGCCCAUUAACUUAAGUUGUAUGAGAACUUAAUGACUAAAGACUCAAAAGGGCCCAAACAGCCCAAAGCCUUUAGAAGGCCGGCCAUAUUGUAAAUGAAUGAGUUUUGGUUCGUUUUGUCCCUUAAGUGAAGUGACUAUAUAAAGGACUUUAUAGCCAAAAGUUCAUUAAGGGUUUUCUAGAGAGAAAAUAUGAGAAUACAAAACUCUCUCUUCUCUUAGGAGGCCGGCCACCCUAGAGGAAAAAAGCUAGUAGUCUUUCUUCCUUUAGGUCACUCAUCUCUUCCUUAAUGCUCUCCUUGGUGUGGAGACUUAGAAGUUCCCUAUUUUGGGAACUUGGAGAAUCCAUUCCUUCAUUCAUCCAAGAAGUCAUGGAGCCAAGAAGUGAAGUUCCUCCAUCCACAUCCAUGGAGUCAAGGAGCAAGGAGACUAAGGAAAGAAGGCCCUCACAUGGGUGAAUAUCCUUUGCUAAGCAAAGAGGUGCUUCAAAGGUAUAAAAGUUUCUCAACUCUUUUCUUUAAGAUUUGAGUUGAGUCUUGGUUCACCACAAUUACUAGGCCUUGAAUUUCAUGGGUAAAGUUUUGUUUUUGAGUGCAAACAAACAUGAUUCCGCCUUUUAAUUGUUAAAUGCAUGCAUAGAUGUUGCUCAAAUGAACUUGUUUUCACAAAUAUUUCCUUCAAGUGGUAUCAGAGCCUAGGUCUAGUAGUUGGUGAAUCCUUUUGGGUUUUGUAGUUCAUAGUCUUUGAUUUGAAUAUUGUAAUUGUUACAAGCUUUAUUUUUGCUUCUUUGAAUGUAAAUUUUGCUUGAAAAUUUGCCAUGUCAAAUGUUGUAGAUAUAGUUCAUAUGAGCAUGAAUUUUGGAGCUAAAAUUUGGUGCCAUGUUUAUGGGGAAAUUUGGCCAAAUCCAAAGGGUGGAUUUGACAAAAUAGUGGAUGAAAUCUACCGACAAAGGGUCAAUUGGCUUAUUUCAAAUAGUUUAGGGAGUUAAUUUACCAAAAAAAUAGUUCAGGAGGUUAAUUUCAACUGGAGUAAUAAUUCAAGAGGUCAAAUGGCAGUUUACCCUUUAAAAUAUUGUUUGUAAAAUGCCAUGAAUUGCUUUUCCAAUAAAAAAACAAGAACGAAGUAACAAAUCAAAAUUGGAUGGGUUUUUAUCACCAAUGAUCCUUGAAAUUGACCCAUCACAUCAAGAUGGUCUUUAAAAUUGAAAAUCAAUCAAUGUAGUCCUGAAAAUGGGUAUCGCAAAUCAAUAUGGUCCUUUCCUUACAAUUUUGUUAAAAAUAUGUUAUGUGUUGGCACAUAACAGGGUCCCACCAGUCUAAUUAAAUAUUAUUAUUUAAUUUCAAAAUAUUUAAAUAAUAAAAAAAUAUUUUUGUAUAAUUAACUAAAGGGUUAAUCUCAGUAUACUACCUUGAAGUUUCAUGGUUUUCAACAUUUGGUACAUGAAGUUUUUUCAUCCCAGAGUCAUACCUCAAGUCUUAAUUUUGGGACAGUUUCACACAUCCGUUAAGUUGACUGUUAAGAUAGCUGGUAACUGAUGACGUGAUGUCCACGUGGACAAUGAUUGGGCACCACGUGUCAAUAUGGGCCCACAUAAAUAUUAAAAAAUUAAAAAUUAAAAAAAUUAAAAAUUAAAAAACUAACCAAAUAAAAAAAGGCCCAGGGAUGCAAACCUUCCCUUUCCUCCACCCGCACCAACCCUUUUUCUUCCCCAUCGCUGCUGAUUGCAGCAUCUUCCCCAACCCAUUCCUCCUAUUGCACUCCCUUGCUCCUCCUGCAGCACAAACCGAGCAACAACUGAUUUCUUUUCGUAUCUUUUCGGCCCAAGAACAAAGAUGAUUCUCAUGACCUAGCAUUCUAUAACUUUGAUCCAGAUUUUGGGAAAACAAUAUACAGGAAAAUACAUUAUCUUCAUAAGUAAGAAGCAGAUUGGAAUAAUGGAAUUAACAAAAAGCAAAAAAGCCCCAGCUCAAAACCCAAAUUUUUUCUAAAUCUCAACCUAGAAAGUGCAGAUUCCAAACAAAUCCAAAUCGAAAUGAACCCUAGAAAUUGAAAUUUCAAAUUGAAAAUUCAAAUUGGGGGAGCUAUGAGAUUUUACCUAAAUAGCAGCUUGGAUGGGAAAAAAUUGAGAACUUUGUACUGCUGCAGCUGGGUUCGAGUGGGUGAGAUUUAGAAAUAAAAACUUGAAACAAAUAUUAAAGGAAAAAUCGAGGGAGGGGCCGCACCAAUGAGUAUUUGUAUUUGUGUCUCUCUAAGAGGAAGAGGAGAUAGAAAGUUUGAUGUUAUGAAACACAGAGAGAGAGAGAGAGAGGGGUUGGCAACCGCAUGAUUUUUGCCGACUCACUUCCGCUCGAGCUCCGACGCAUAGAUCAACCUAGUUGCUACUCCUCUCCAUUAUCUGAAUCGUCGCGAUGCAUGCCAAAGAAAGGGAAGAAAGGUUCUGCAAAAACCCAAGGAGAAAAACGCAUCCCUAUAGCAUUUUUUAUUUAAUUUUUAUUUAUUAAUUUAAUUUUUUUAAAUUUUAGUUUUUAAUUUAUAUUUUUAAUUUUUUAAUAGCACGUGGGUCCAUAUUGACAUGUGGCGCCCGUAUACUUAGUCACCACGUCAUCAAUUAACAUCAGAUUUAACAGCAAACUUAACGGAUGUAUGAGACUGUUCCAAAAUUAAGACUUGAAGUAUAAUUCUGGGAUAAAAAAACUUCAUGUACCAAAUGUUGAAAACCACGAAACUUCAAGGUAGUAAAUUGAGAUUAACCCUUAACUAAAAAAUAGAAAGAAAAAAAAAUCAAUGUUCAUUUUCUUCUUCCCCUCCCCUUCAAGUACACAAAUGCUGACGAACCCAGACAGAGGUAGCUGAAGACACGACAGCCAACCACUGCAAUUGGAACCGCGUGGCGGUGAAUCGGCGUCGAAUUCACUCGCAGUGUCCGAUUUGUCGACAAGACCUCGCCGAAAUCGAGAAGAGAGAGAAGAAAAAUGAGAGAUGGAGAAAAUCAGGGAAGUGAAAAGGAGUAUUGGGUGGUGGGCGAUGUCGCCGCCGACAUUGUUGUUGGCGUCUAGCUACUGUAGUCGAGGAGAAAAGGGAAGAGAACAUAAAAUUUUUGGUAUAAAACCAAAUCUCCCAGUUUGGUUUCUAGCUGCUAAUGUGGCCACGACAUCGUUGUUGGUUUCUUACCUCAAUCUCCUAGUUUGGUUUGGUGAAUUUGGGAGAUAAGAGAGGAGGUUGGGUGGGAAACGGGAUGAACUGGCAUUGAGGAGAGAGGAAGAGAGUAGUGGGAGAUUUUUUUUCUCAAUUUUUAAUUAUUAAAAAAUUAUUUAAUUAGUUAAUCCACAUUACAAUAUUUAAUUAAACUUGUAGGGCCUAGUUAUGUGCCACAAUAACACAUAACUAAAUUUUUAACGAAAGUUUGACAAAAGGACCACAUUGAUUUGCAAUGCCCAUUUUCAAGGACUACAUUGAUCGAUUUUCAAUUUCACGGACCUUCUAGACGUGAGAGGUCAAUUUCAUGAAUCAUUUGUGACAAAAACCCAAUUUGGAUUUAUACAUUUGCUACAUGAACUGAUGAACAGUGGUUGAGCCAAUUGUCAUCACAAAUCCAACCACAGCACAUGAUUACUUACGUAAUGGGGUUAUGACAAUUGGAAGAGUUUGCUGAUAUAAUUCUUUAAACAUAUGUCUUCAUUUCAUUUCAUCGCCCCCAAGUCCCUUGGAUUCUUACUUUAAAAUGCAGAAAAAUGGACGAAAUUGUAAUGAGAAUUCUUUGCAAACUAAAACAUUUAGAAGAACGGACAAUACAUUUUGGUGCGUACAACCAUAUUUGUAAAGAGAGCACAAACUCAACAAACAAUAUGAAUACAUGUAAAAAGGUAGCAACCAUGUCAGUCUUUCGAUUUCUCUUGGAACUCAAUGAUUCAAAGUUUAAUGAUGAAUAUGGUGCUUCUUGGACGUUGGAAACGCAUACAAUUAUGAUUACCGCAGAACAAGAAGCUCUAUUCGAGUAUCAUGCCAAUUCCAAACACUGCAAAGCUUAUAAGAUUGUUAAGCUUGCACCAAGAAGAAAUGAAAUUGUUGAAAAGUCAAUGAUAUCAAGAUGCCUGAUAUCUUGGUUUAGAAUAGGAAACAAAGUCUGUAAUUGAUUUGUACAAAAUCUUCCUUUUUUGUAUAGCUAGAUUGUAGGCUGGGUUAAUUCUCUUCCAAGAGAAUGAGUCUGUAUAAAAGGCCUUUUGUAUCUUUGUUGAUCAUAAGAAUUUCAGCCGAAUAUAUUUUUACAUGGUAUCAAGAGCUAGGCCAAAACCCUAGUUCUAUUUUCUUCUGCUAUUGUUUCUCUUUGCCGCUGUUCAUCAAGCAGCGUGUUUUUUUUUUCCAUUGAUAUUAGCAAUGGCCGAUGAUCGAACUUCGAGCGAAAGCAAGCCUGAUGCUUCCAAUCCACUAUUCAUUCAUCAUUCAGACCACCCAGCUAUGGUGCUGGUCUCGAAACCCCUUAAUGGGGACAACUAUUCCACCUGGUCCCGAGCCAUGAAGAUUUCCUUGAGUGCUAAAAACAAGAUUGGUUUUGUUGAUGGCACUGUUUCACAACCGUCAGCAAAAACCCAGCCGAAUGAUCAUGCUGCAUGGAAGAGAUGCAACGACAUGAUUGUUGCCUGGAUCAUCAACUCAAUCGAUUCAGAUAUUUCAGACAGCAUUCUCUACAUGACUAGCGCUCAUGAGAUUUGGGACGAAUUGCAAGAGCGCUACUCCCAAAGUAAUGCCCCUUGGAUUUUUCAAUUGCAGCGGGAUAUUUCGUGUCUUUCUCAAGAUCAACUCUCUAUUGCAGCCUAUUAUACCAAGUUGAAGAGUCUGUGGGACGAGUUGUCUUCCUACAGUGAUUCAUCCUCAUGCACAUGCGGUGCUCAAAACGAAAGGAACAUGUUGAUGCAGUUCCUUAUGGGACUCAAUGAUUCAUAUAGUGUUGUUCGAGGACAAAUCCUCUUGAUGAAUCCGUUGCCUACUAUACGUCAAGCUUACUCCUCAAUCUCACAGGAAGAGAAACAAUGCUCUUUGAGCAUUUCUCGCACCACCACUGCAACAGCAACCAUGGCAGUUCGCCAGGGCCACCAUUCCAAGUCCUCAGGUUCUUCCACUCGCAAACCCAUGCAUUGUACGCAUUGCGAUCAAGAUUACCACACUAUUGAUACUUGCUACCAGUUGCAUGGGUACCCACCUGGGCAUCGUCUUCAUAAGACCAACAAAUCCAAUCCACGUGGUGGGAAUCGCUCCAAACGAGACACCGGCUCUUCAUUAGCCAACAUAGUUUCCUCAGAAGGACCUUCUGUGCAAGAAAUGCAGUCCGUGAUGUCAGGUUUAUCAGAUUCUCAAUUUCAACAAAUUCUCAGUAUCAUGAAUGGGAAAAAUGUAUCUGCUGCCCCUCAAGCCAAUGCUACCACCACUACCAAAAGUUUGUCAAAAAAUCCUUCGCAUCUCCAUCGAUGGAUUAUCAAUAGUGGUGCGACGGACCAUAUCACCUCCUCACCGAAACUGCUCGCUAAUAGUGUGAAAAAUGAUAAUACGCUGCCAGUUUUAUUGCCAAGUGGAGAACAAGCAUCUAUUGUAUUAACUGGAGAUUUACCUUCGAGUUCUACCUUUUUACUACGGGAUGUGCUGUGUGUGCCUACUUUUAAUGUAGAUUUGAUGUCGGUGAGUCGAAUUACUGGAGGAUUAAAUUGUUCCGUCACCUUUUUUCCCACUUGGUGUAUUUUGCAGGACCUGACCACGAAGAGAACGAUUGGUUUGGGUAAGCAACGAGGAGGACUUUACUAUUUGGUGGCGUUGGCUCCUGUCUAAGAUGGCACUUCGAGACGUUUAUGCAACAUGGUCCUAUCACCUACAGAGUUGUGGCAUCGCCGUUUAGGUCAUUUGUCAUCAUCUAGAUUAGAUUUCAUGUCCAAAAAUAUGUUACAUUUUCCUUUUCAGUCUAAUAAUGCUUGCGAUGUUUGUCCAUUAGCCAAGCAAAGUCAUUUACCUUUUGGUGUUAGUACCAUUGCAACCCAGAAACCUUUUGCUUUAAUUCAUUGUGAUAUUUGGGGUCCUUAUAAAAUUGCCUCUACUUGUGGAGCCAAAUAUUUUUUGACCAUAGUAGAUGAUUAUUCUCGUUUCACAUGGAUCUUUCUUAUGCACCACAAAAAUGAGACCCAACACCUCCUUAAAAAAAAUUUCUCUUAUGUUCGUACUCAAUUUAAUACAUUUGUUUGUCAAAUCCGUGUAGACAAUGGAGGUGAAUUUUUCUCCCUUCAUGAUUUUUUCCAAGAAUACGAUGUCGUAUACCAACACUCUUGCGUUUAUACGCCCCAACAAAAUGGGGUUGUAGAACGCAAGCAUCGUCACAUCCUUGAAACAGCCCGUAGUUUGCGUUUCCAAGCCAACCUACCACUUCGUUUUUAGGGUGAAUGUGUGCUUACAGCUGUUCACCUUAUUAAUCGUCUCCUUACCAAAAUUCUUUCCAACACUACACCUUUUGAACGUCUCUAUUCCAAAUCACCUACCUAUUCCCACUUACGAGUCUUUGGAUGUCUUGCCUAUGCCACAAAUACUCACAUUUCUCAUAAGUUUGCUCCCCGUGCUCAUAAGUGUGUUUUUCUAGGGUAUCAUGUUGGUCAAAAAGCCUAUAAGCUCUACGACCUCACCACCCAUAAGUUUUUUACCAAUCGUGAUGUCAUUUUCCACGAGCAUAUUUUUCCUUACCAACAUCACUCCAUAUCCGAUGACCAACUUCCCCUUCCCGGACCUGUCUUACCUCAACCUCUUCUUGACUACAAUGUUCCCUCUGCGUCCCCUUCCGCACCCACUUUUCCUCCCGUGUCACCUGUUGAGUCUUCUCCUCGUCCACCUCCCAUGUUUGAUGCUCCACCUUUCUUUAUCCCUGCUACUGCCAUAUCAGCGCUCCCAGCGCCCGUGCCUCCAAAACCUUUCGUGCCCUCCGCGCCCGUGCUUCGCUGCUCUGACCGUCGCUCAGCUCCUCCAGCUCGCUUCAGUGAUUAUGUUUGCCCUACUUUGCUUUUUACCCAACCAAUCGAUUCGUCCUCUUCGUCGACAGGUCCUACCACCGGUACAAGGUAUAUUCUUGCUAAUUUUCUCACUUAUCAUCAUUUCUCACCCCAACAACAAUCUUUCCUUGCUUCUAUCAGUCAGCAGGUCGAACCUCACACUUAUGCUCAUGCUUCCCUUCAUUCCUAUUGGCAAGCUGCCAUGGACUUUGAAUUGCAUGCUUUGGAGGCCACUAAUACUUGGACACUCACUCAUCUCCCUGCCGGUAAAACUCCCAUUGGUUGUCAUUGGGUGUAUAAGAUCAAACAUCGUUCUGAUGGUUCUAUUGAAUGUUAUAAAGCUCGCCUCGUCGCCAAGGGUUACACUCAACUUGAAGGUGUUGAUUAUCACGAUACCUUCUCCCCUACUGCUAAGAUGGUCACUGUUCGUUGUUUAUUAGCCCUCGCUGCUACCUGCGACUGGUCUUUCCUCCAACUUGAUGUCCACAACGCUUUUCUUCAUGGUGAUCUUCAUGAAGAAAAUAUAUGACCCUUCCUCCUGGUCUUCAGCGACAGGGGGAGAAGAUCGUGUGUCGCCUUAAUAAAUCCCUCUAUGGCUUGAAGCGAGCUUCCCGACAAUGGUUUGCAAAGUUUUCAGAAGUAAUUAAAACCGCUGGUUAUAUUCAAUCAAAGGCAGAUUAUUCUUUAUUUACGAGGCAGCAAGGGCAAUCUUUUACAGCCCUCCUGAUCUAUGUUGACGAUAUCUUGAUCACCGGCAAUGAUCCUGAAGGAAUUAAUGCUUUUAAAAAGUUUCUUCAUGGUCACUUCAAAAUCAAGGAUCUUGGUAACUUGAAGUACUUUCUGGGAAUAGAGGUUUCACAGUCAAAGAAAUGGAUCUUUAUUUCUCAGCGAAAAUACGCUUUAGAAAUUUUGAAAGAUAGUGGUCUUUUGGGAGCUUGCCCAGUGGAGUUUCCUAUGGAGCAGAAUGUUAAACUUUCUAACACUGGUGAGUUGCUUAAAGAUCCGGCAAAGUAUAGAAGGUUGGUUGGUCGAUUGAUCUAUUUAACUAUUACAAGGCUGGACAUCACUUAUCCCGUGCAUGUGUUAAGUCGAUUCAUGCAUGAACCACGACAACUGCACAUGGAAGCAGCCUUCUGAAUUCUGAAAUACUUGAAGAGUACGCCUGGACAAGGUUUGUUUUUCUCUUCUUAAAACAACUUGAACUUAAGUGCAUAUUGUGAUUCAGAUUGGGCGGGAUGUCCUAUGACACGAAGGUCAACUACAGGUUAUUGCGUUUUUUUAGGCUCUUCGUUGAUCUCUUGGAGGUCAAAGAGACAAAAGACCAUUUCUUUAUCAUCAGCAGAGGUCGAAUAUAGAGCCAUGACUGGAACUUGUUGUGAACUGUCAUGGCUUCGAUAUCUUCUGAGGGAUUUAGGUUUGCUUCACCCAAAACCGGUCUUGCUACAUUGUGACAACAAAACGGCACUCCAUAUAGCUACUAAUCCAGUUUUUCAUGAACGAACUAGACAUAUAGAGAUUGAUUGUCACUUUAUUCGAGACAAGAUACAAGAUGGUUCAGUUGUCACAAGAUACAUUCCCUCUUCAAACCAGCUUGCAAAUGUGUUCACAAGGGCAUUAGGAAAGGAGGCUUUCUCAUCCAUCAUACGCAAGUUGGGAGUUCUCGACGUACACUCUCCAACUUGAGGGGGAGUGUUGAAAAGUCAAUGAUAUCAAGAUGCCUGAUAUCUUGGUUUAGAAUAGGAAACAAAGUCUGUAAUUGAUUUGUACAAAAUCUUCCUUUUUUGUAUAGCUAGAUUGUAGGCUAGGUUAAUUCUCUUCCAAGAGAAUGAGUCUGUAUAAAAGGCCUUUUGUAUCUUUGUUGAUCAUAAGAAUUUCAGCCGAAUAUAUUUUUACAGAAAUGCCUGAGCUUUACCUGAUAAAUUCAAUCAAAGACGAUACAUGAAUUUACAGAGGCAAUUGGAGAUCAAGUUGGGGUUGAUCCAUACAGAUUUUUUAUGAACCUAUCAAUUGCAAAACAAAACAUGGAAACCAAAGUAAAUAUCCUCUGAUUUAAAUAUCAUCUUCUACUCAAACCAUUUAGGGUAAAUUACAUAAAACUACCUCAAAUACUGGGUCAUUAACAGUUUCAUACCUUGUCUUUAAAAAGUUUCAAUGUCAUACCUUAUCUUCGAAUUUGUUGCAAUGUCAUACCUUCAUGAGGCGGGGCCCACUUUUUAUUAAAAAAUAUUAAUUAAAUAUUAAAAUUAAAAUAAAAUAACCCCCGGGAAACCCCAUCCCCUUUCCCAUCCGUCGUCCUCCUGAAGGAUUAUUUUGUGAAAACAUGUUCAUUUAAGCAACAUCAAUAAGCAUGCAAUUAACAAUUAAAGGCGGAAUCAUGCUUGCAUGCACUUAAAAACAAAACAUUAACCAAGAAAUUCAAAGCCUAGUAGAUUGGUGAACCAUUAAUCAACUCAAAACAAAGUGAGUUGAGAUUUAUACCUUUGUAGAUUCCUCUUUGCAUAAGCAAAGGCUAAUCACCCAAAGAGAGGGCCUUCAUUCCUUGCAUCUAAAAUCUAAGGAUUUGGAUGGAAGAAUAGGUUUCUCCAAGUUCCCAAAAUUGAGAACCUCUAAGUCUCUUCACCAAGGAGAGAUUGGAGAAGAAAUGAGUGACCUUGGAGUAGUGGGAUUGCAAGAUGCACCCCCCAAGGUGGCCGGCCUCUUUAGAGAGAAAUGGAGAGACAAGUUCUCACCAAUUUUCUCCAAAAACAAACCCUUCAUGAAUUUUGGCUAUAAAGUCAUAUUUAUACCUUUAUUCAUUUGAGUGGCAAACUUGUAAAUAAGUCCAAGUUCACUACCCUAACCAAUAUGGCCGGCCAUUAGGAUAUUUUGGACUAAUUGGGCCUUUGUGAAUCAUUAUUCAUUAAGUUGUCAUACAACUUAUGUUAAUGGGCUUGACGUUCGAAGCCCAUUGGGCCUUAAGGUCCAAAAACUAUCCCGAGGUCUUUAACGAACUUAUUCGUUUGAUUAAUUAACAUAUUAAUUAAUCCUUGCCAUAAAUAAAUGAUUAAACCAUUUAAUCAUUCUUACUCAUCUCCAUUGUUUCUUCAAUCUCCUCCUUAUACGGUGUGCGAUCCAUUAGAUUCCUUUUAGCGAGGCAGUGGGCGAUUAAAACCAUUUUACAUCGACUGUGAAUUGAAACUUUUUUUCAAUUCUCCCUUUAGUGAUUACACACGUUUAGGGCUUCCACAAACCAUGAGUGACACCUUGCAGCAUAUCAUGGUUACCCAAGCUAAUCAGAAGAGGUAGAGAAAACCUAUUCAGUUUGGGAUUACAAAUGCAAUACGGUCUUUCUCUAAUCUAAUACUCCUGACCACAUUGUUUGGUUUGAUAGUUUAUUUAUUCAUGUCUACUAUCCAAUGUGAUUCGUGUGCUUAUAUGAUUACCUUGAAUGUGAUUUUGAACGACUUUUCUAAAUCUCAUUCAUACUCUGGCCAGACAUUCUAAAUCAUAUCAUAGAGUAUUCUCCCUCAAACGGUUUGAAGGUUAGAGAUCCCUUGUUGCGCAUUCACUUGCCUCCAUGACUAAGUGGCUUAACCCCAACGAUGUCGUGGACACCCCGAUGGGGUGACUUUGACAUAAUCAAAGAUCAAGGACUUAACCACAAGACAACUCUGAUGCCUCAGGUCAAAGGACUAAUUUGCAUUAUCCUAAACAUGAGUUCUCAUGUGACAUGAGUAUGAGAACUCUUCGUUGAUCGCGUUCAGUGAACUCAUUCUCUACUGAGCACCUACGUACUUGUCUUGAUGUCACACACACCAAUGACUCGAGACUAGUCACUCUCCCUGAGAGAAGACAUAGCACGUACCGAUCUUGACGGACUGUCAAUGCCCAAUUGACAAUCCUAUGAUCAGGAACAUUUAGGAUGUGUCUACGAAAGAAUGGUCUCAUGAAUCUAACUUCAUUAGAUUGCAUUCUCCCAAUCACAUAUUCCUUGGACUUUAUCGUUUAAGCAUAUAACAUUUAUAUGAGACGGCUCAAACAAUAAUCUUUGCCCUUUAUAUUAAACUAGAUUAGUUUAACAUGUGAAAUGUCCAUAAAGUAUCAUCAUAUGAUUGGCUUUAGGGCACAUUUCCAACACCUCCUCCCCCCCCCCAAAACCUUCCUUCCAAACCUAGAACCCCACCUCCCCUGCUACCCCUCCCUGUCUCCCUCCUGAGCCUCCCAACCACCUCCCUCUCCUCCCAUUCAAAACUAAAAAAAUAAAAAAAUAACCCGUUGAGGUGGUCCGACUUCGACGAGAAUGAUGAGGUGGUCCAGGGAAGGAAGGGUUGGGUGGGGUGUGACGAUCUGAACAAUUUGGGUUCAGAUUUGUUUCUGAUUUUUUUUUUUAAGGGAGGGGUUGCGGGGGAGGUGGGGGUGGGGGAUGGUGGGGUUCUCGGUUUGGAAGAAGGAAGGUUUUUGUUUUUAGAGGUGGUCCGACUUUGACAAAACAUUUGUUAGUUGGUUUAUAGAAGCGAUAUCCAAAAGUUAAUUUAAGGAUAUCCCACAAGAUUGUUAUCAAACAAAUAUUGCUUAUAAGCAUGCAACCCCAAAUCUUAACAUGCUUGAGAUUUGUCUUUCUUUCCAACUACACCUUAUGGAGUCAUGAAAAUAUUGGAAGAUCUUCUAAUGUACAAUCAUAUUGUUUUAGAAGUAUAUAUCCUAUAUAUGGGUAAUAGAUAACAUCUAACGAACUAAAUCUUAUUCGAGUUCGUUCUUCUCCUAAAGGAGAAAUUCAUUAUCUUAUGAUGCUAUUUUCCUUGAUAUCUUUCAAGGAAACUCAUCUAAAGUGUUACUUUUCCUUGGAUCAAAUCUAAGGAGGUAAAUACUUUAGAUGUCUUACUCAUCAACUUACAUUUCUUGAAUUCUUUGAAACAUUUUACAAAGUAUUCGGACUUGUGUUUAUUCAAAAUACACUAUAGUCCAACCGAGAGUGAUCUUCGGUGAAUGUCAUCCAACAUGAGUAGUAUUAUGUUGUGGACAAGUGCCACUAACAUCAAAGUGAAUUAACCUCAACAACUUUGUGAUUCUUUCUUCUUUCCAAAAGAAUAAAGAUUCAAACAUUUCGCCUCUAUACAAUUUUAAUAAGAAGGUAUUGGAUCCGGAUCUAACGAUCCAAAGCGUCCAUCUAUGACCAACUCGUAAUUUAUGUUUUAGAGGUAUCACAACUUUAGUUGGGAUUAGUCACUACCUUGCAACCUUUUGGGUUUUAACUACCUUGCAACCUUUUGGGUUUUAAGCAUCAUUAUUUUCUAAACAGUUAACACUACCAUAUCAUCUCUACUAUAGAGAUAAUUAAUUAGAUUACAAUAAUCUAAUCAUUCAUUAUUAAAGAACAAUGUUUUGUCAAACAAAACAUUUAUCCAUUUCACAUAGUGACGGAAUUUAGUUCCUUAAAAUUGGAAUAUAAAGACAAUCUAUGUUUUUCCAAUUUCUUUGGUAGUUUAUAUGAGGAAGUAAGUACCAUCUGCUUUCGCAGAGAUCUACAUUUGAUUCACGUUUCGAAUGUGAAGUACUUUCUCUUCUCUCAUUAAUCUUCUACUUCUUAUUAGCCACAUUUUACAACGAUUGUAAAACAUAGUUACUAAUACGGAAUCAAGCAUUCAAGUAGAAGAACCAACUGUUUUGAACUAUUCAAGAACAAUUUACAACACCUUCGAAAGAUGUGUUCUUGACACUUGCAAGACAUUUCUUGCAAAUACCCCUUCCAAUGUCCAUCCUUUCAUAAAGAAAGUUUGUUCCCUUGGAGUUUAAUUUUAACUUCUUUAUUUGACUUUCACCUUUGACUACAUUAGUCAUGGUCCCUAAACUCCCACUAUCUCUCUUGAAACUUAUUUCAAUUGUGUUGUACACAUCAAACAUUUUGGAGAGCAUGUGGUUAUUGUUCACUACAUAGUUUACAAUAAACUUAGUGAACCAUUAGGAUAGGGACACAUAGGUGAAGUCCUUGCCUAGUUUCCGUUUCGUUAAGUGGUUUAACACUUCAACACUCAAUGAUUCAAAAUCAUCAUAAGUC
rnacentral:lncRNA from 1 species